ensembl:lncRNA
CUUGUCCUUUUCAGGAGUUUUUAACUGCAUGCAAUGAACAGUUAAGCAAUUUUUCCCUUUUAGGUUGCUGCCCUAAAGACAGAGAUAGAAGACAUGAGAGACAGGCAGGAUGGAAAAGGAACAAAGUGAGUACAGCCUUCAUGGAAACAAUUGCUCAUGUGCGCCGUACAUGAGCUAUGGCAUAAAGUGAGUGAAUCAGAUUUUGCCUUGCCAUAUUAUACUUCACCGAGAAGCAUUGCAUGCUACAAAAUGUGGCCUUGGAGGAAACAGAGUACAUUGGUUCAUCGUAACAGAGCAGCUGGGGCGUGCAAUGAGAAGCAAAACGAAUUAGAAAGUUCUGCUAAGGACCAAGAGUGGCUCUGGCUCCUGCUGUCUGUCGCCUCCAGGAAGAGUAUCUCCAUGCUCUGCAAGAUGAUUUAGGAUGCAGUAUUUGCUAUGGUCCCAUUUUACAGCUCCUACAACACCAAAGUUGCAGCAUGUAUGUUCAAGUAUACCACAUCUGCUCCUCCAUCUCAGUAGAUGUGCCAGAUUGCAGAGAAUUUCUGUGCUGGAAAGAUCCAUCAAACAGGAGGAUUUUAACCAGCAUGUUGAAGAGCGUUCUCCCUUCGGAUUCUACUCACAUCACUCACAGACCAUGAAGACAUCAAGCCAUGAAGAAACCAAUAGAAAAGCAGUUUGGUUGCUUCUGAAUAAUCCGUUUUCCACUCCAACUUUACCAACUUAAACGUAUUUGAGAAUACUGUUAGAUUGAAUCCUCUCUAAAAUAUGUACAUUAUUUAAUCACAUAUGUAAACAGCAAGUAUGGCAUUAAAUGCAGCUUAG